CUGAAAUUGAGCAGUGCGUGGUUAAGAAGUUGGGCCGGGUCGAGGGCUGUUUCACUGCCACCUGAGUAGCUGAAGAAGCGGCCUCGAGUCUCCCUUGCUUCUUCGACCAGGUGCUGCAGCUUCUAAGAGUCCUGUCUUGCAGAACUGAGGUUCCCCUGUGGCUGCUAGCGAUCCCACGGACCCUCUGCUACACCUGAUAAUGGGCCACAGGGGUUUCUUGCACUGAUGCAAGAGGUCUGCAUUGAUCAGUGAGACAGGCAGCUAAAUGCAUCAGUGCAUUAGGGUGUAUGUGUAGUACAGCAGAAAUCCCAAGUAACGUGAUACUUAAGCUGAAAUCAUAGAAUGGCCUGGGCUGGAAAGGACCCCAAAGAUCACCAAGUUCCAACACCCCCUGCCACAGGCAGGGCCACCAACCUCCAGAUCUGGUUGGUACUAGAGCAGGCUGCCCAUGGCCCCAUCCAGCCUGGCCUUGAACACCUUCAGGGGCGGAGCAUCAACCUCUCUGGGCAGCCUGUUCCAGCACCUCACCACUCUCUUGGUAAAGAACUUCUCCCUGAUAUCCAAUAAAAUCUUCGCUCCUCGAGCUAAAAUCCAUUUCCCCUUGUCCUAUCACUAUCUACGCAAGUAAAAAGUUGAUUCCCCUCCUUUUUAUAGCUCCCUUUUAAAUACUGGAAGGCUGCAAUGAGGUCUCCUUGCAGCCUUCUUUUCUCCAGGUUGAACAAGCCCGGCUCCCUCAGCCUGUCCUUGCAGGGGAGGUGAUGAUCAUCUUCAUGGCCCUUCUCUGGACUCUCUCCAACAGCUCCACCAAAGGGAUAAGGCUGUUCAGCCCAGACCCCUUGUUCCCUGACUCACUGUUCCUUUUUUUCUUAUUUUUUUUUUCUUUUUCUUUCUUCUUCCUCCUUUUCCUUGCAAGUUCAUAAACGUAGGUUGCUUUCCCAUUUGAAUGUAUUUUUUUUUUCUCAUACAAGUGUUAAGUUGGUUGUGAGUUUCAUUCUGGAAGAAUGUAUGAGUUAAAUAUAUAUGUAUAUGGCCACCUGGAACAUUUCUUCAGAGAUAUGUGUCCUAAUACAUUUUUAAAGCUUGAUUCCUUAUACAGCUGUCAGCUGAUUUUUUUCAAUAAAGAUCCCUUGUUUCUGCUUUUUCACUACUAAUUAGGUAAUAACACUACCACCUGUCCACAGGUUUUGUUUAUCUGGAAAGCUCAGUUUCAGACACACAGAAUGUAAUUAAGAAACUUUACAGGAGCUCUAAAGGCAGGGGAAAAAAAAAAAAAAAAAAAAAAGGCAGAUCAGUAUUUCAAGUAUUUUCCUUCUAAGAAUGUACUAUUUAAC
ensembl:lncRNA